rnacentral:misc_RNA from 1 species
UGUAAGUGCAGAACUUGAUGCAUGUAAAGAUGAUGUAAGCAAACGAGUUAGAGACUCUGAAAACAAAGCAGUUGCUGCUGGUGGAGGUGGUGGCCCUGAGAUGGCAGAUUUUGAGCUUGAAGGAUUCCACUUUAAACCGGGGUCAUUAUUAUGAUUGAAUUGCUGAUUUGUAGCUGCCGAAGACUAAAACAGAAGCCACCAUUGAUGUGCGAAUGGAAGCUGAAACAGGACAGAUGCCCUUACCUUGAAUAUGAAAAUAUGCAUCAACUUAACAAAAUUUCCUUCAAAAUUUAUCAUCAGCUGUAGGUCCAAGUGUUAAAAUUCAUAAAAUAUUAUCGGGAUCUCAAGUUUGAUGUGCAACCCCAAGCUGAUCAGCAGCGUGUAUCUUUUGUUUUUUUGAAGGAAAAAAUAAAUGAAAUAAACUAAAUAAGAAAGUACAGCUUCACAAAUAAAAUUGGGAGGUAAAAUUAGGAGGGACGGGCUCCACUCUGUCAAACCAAACUUGGAACAUGCUAUCGUUGUUAAUAAAUGGGCGACAAAAAUCGCCGAACAGUGGCUUCGCUAAUGGAGCAAAUUAUUUGCGGCCUGUUCAACGAUAAAAUUAUUUGCAGUCAAGCAUGCACGGUUCAUGCCAAGUCGGAAGGUACUAAUCAUGGCUCAUUAGCUCAAUGAUUAUUUGUUGCUUUCAUCUUUCCGAUUAGAUAACUAGAAAUUUGGGGAAAAGAGAAACACAAAAGGAGUUUUCUUUUGUAUUUUUGUCAGAAGUCAUAGUUCAUUAAUUAAAAAGUCUUGGGCUCAGUAAAAGUUAAAAUCCAAAGAUACAAUUGAAACAGAAAAAAGCUCUACUUCCUAGCUUAAAAACAAAGAUUACAUAUCAAACCCAUAGCUAGAGGCUCAAAAACAAAAAUAAGGAUCCAGAAAAUAAAAAAAAAAAGAAAAAAACCAACCCAGUUCCAAGUCCUAGAAACUGGUUCUCAAGCAAACAACCCUAGAAACUUGAUCCACAAUUGCAAAACCCGAGAGACAUGAGGUGUAGCGUUGCCUCACCAUGCAAAAAGGUUCUCCAGCAACACUCUAGGGAAGAUCUAAACAAACAGAUGAGUCACAAAGGGAGAACCAUCAAUUCCAUAGCCUUACUUCCAAGGGUCUCCCAGAAUACUACAACCCAAGAGAGAUCGCACUUCACAGGGGGCCCAAAACCACAGAUGGAAGAACCAAGCCAAGGUAGAUGGAUUAGCAAGACGAAGAAGCAUCGCAUAUUGCUCCAAGAGGGUGAUGAGGUAGAGCUUGGUCAGCCAAUGAAGCCUUGGAGUCGGUCAUAGAUGGCACAGUAGGCGAAGGACCCCCCAAGGUACUCACAUCUCUUAAAAACGCAAACCCUCCCAAAGCCAAAAAGAUAGAGAAUGAUGAAAAAGUAUUAAUACCUGCAUGCAACACCCAAAGCUAGACAAAGCAACUCUAAUCUAUGAUAGAUCAAAGAAGGCUCUCUUAAAUAAGCACCAUCUACCACCAAAAACCACUUAAACUUAUUUAUGCAUAUCAUCCCACCCGGAGGGGGAGAUCAUAACCCACUACCAGAUAGAGGAGAGGAAUGUCUCCACUGCCCAGACGGGGCAAGGGAGACCACAGAUCCAGCAAAGCAAGGGACCAAAUGUCUCAGAAAACUGAGGAAAUUGGCUCCUUCGUUCACUUCCUUCUUGUUUUCCUACUACAUAAAGAGUUGUAUAUAUACAUCGCAGAAACUAGAGAGUAUAUUGGUUCUAGUAAAUUAAUCAGGGACGUGCUCGGUUUGCAGGCUUCAUUUUCCAGAAAUAAUAAUAUUAAAAAAAAUGCAACCAAGAAGCUUAGUUCUUAAUUCACUAAUUCAGAGAUGCUGGUGCGGUCAAUAGUAUAGGCAUAGACAAUUAAUAAAUCAUGAAAU